CUGAGCAUCCAAGUGAAAUGCUUCCAUGAAAUCAUCACUAUCGGUUACAGAGUCUAUCGCUCCUAUGAUCUGCCGUGGUUUAGAACACUGAGCUGGUACUUUCUACUGUGUGUAAACUACUUUUUCUAUGGAGAGACUGUAGCUGAUUAUUUUGCUACAUUUGUUCAAAGAGAAGAACAACUUCAGUUCCUCAUUCGCUAUCACAGAUUUAUAUCAUUUGCCCUCUAUCUGGCAGGUUUCUGCAUGUUUGUGUUGAGCCUGGUGAAGAAACACUAUCGUCUGCAGUUUUAUAUGUUCGCAUGGACUCACGUCACUUUACUGAUAACCGUUACUCAGUCACACCUUGUCAUCCAAAAUCUGUUUGAAGGCAUGAUAUGGUUCCUUGUUCCAAUAUCAAGUGUUAUCUGCAAUGACAUAACUGCUUACCUUUUUGGAUUUUUUUUUGGGAGAACUCCAUUAAUUAAGUUGUCUCCUAAAAAGACUUGGGAAGGAUUCAUUGGCGGUUUCUUUUCCACAGUCGUGUUUGGAUUCACCGCUGCCUACGUGCUAUCCAAGUACCAGUACUUCGUCUGCCCCGUGGAGUACCGGAGCGAUGUCAACUCCUUCAUCACCGAGUGUGAGCCCUCGGAACUCUUCCGCCUCCAGAGCUACGAGCUUCCACCCUUCCUGUAGGCGGUGCUGAGAUGGGAGACGGUGAGCCUGUACCCUUUCCAGAUACACAGCGUUGCCCUCUCGGCAUUCGCCUCCCUAAUCGGCCCGUUUGGAGGCUUCUUUGCCAGCGGAUUCAAAAGGGCUUUCAAAAUCAAGGAUUUUGCAAACACCAUCCCUGGACACGGUGGGAUAAUGGACAGAUUCGACUGUCAGUAUUUGAUGGCAACUUUUGUGCACGUGUACAUUACAAGUUUCAUAAGGGGCCCAAAUCCCAGCAAAGUGCUGCAGCAGUUGCUGGUGCUGCAGCCCGAGCAGCAGCUGAACAUCUACAGGACCCUGAAGACGCACCUCAUCGAGAAGGGCCUCCUGCAGCCCGCCCUGAAGGUCUGAGCGGCCUGGAGGGGCGCGCCGGCCAGGAGGGACUCCCCAGAGCGGCACCG